rnacentral:misc_RNA from 1 species
AACGCACAUUGCGCUCUUUGGCAUUCCGAAGAGCACGCCUGUUUGAGUAUCGAAAAAACCAUCACGACUUGGUCUUGGAGUUCGCUCCGAUGGACUUUGAGUUGUGGAGUUGGGUUGUUCCUGCUUUGUUCGCGAAGCAGGCAAUCUCAAAUGCGAGCGCAAGGAAGCUGGGUCUCCUAUACUGGGAUCGCUGCCCGAAAAGGUACGAAUUGAGAUUUCUCAUUUUUCUUUCUUGCAGCUCCGAGCCUAGUGGAGAAACGGUCGACCGGCCACGGGGGUAGCCACUACUACCCCAUACGGAGGGUCGAGAGCGGUUGUCUCUCGAUUCUUCGAAAACUUGGUCUCAAAUCAGGUGGGAAAACCCGCUGAACUUAA